rnacentral:rRNA from 1 species
UACGUAGGGUGCAAGCGUUAAUCGGAAUUACUGGGCGUAAAGGGUACGCAGGCGGCUAGGAAAGAAGGAUGUGAAAUCCCAGGGCUCAACCUUGGAACUGCAUUCUUAACUGCCUAGCUAGAGUAUGUCAGAGGGGGGUAGAAUUCCACGUGUAGCAGUGAAAUGCGUAGAUAUGUGGAGGAAUACCGAUGGCGAAGGCAGCCCCCUGGGAUAAUACUGACGCUCAGGUACGAAAGCGUGGGGAGCAAACA